GAUGAACGCUGGCGGCGUGCCUAACACAUGCAAGUCGAGCGGACAGACCCUGCUCUUGCGGCGUGCUCGUUUGGCGCACGCGUGAGUAUCACGUGAGUAUCCCGCCCUUGUCUUUCGGAUAACUUCAGGAAACUCGGGCUCAUAUCGGAUAUGAGAUCCUGCUGCAUGUUGGUCGUUGGUGAGUUUCGGCGGUUGGGGAUGGACUCGCGGGUUAUCAGUUUGUUGGUGGGGUAGUGGCUUACCAAGCGUUUGACGGAUAGCCCGCCUGAGAGGGUGACCGGCCACAAUAGGACUAAGAGACGGCCCAGAAUCCUACGGGAGGCAGCGGGGGAGAAUAUUGCGCAAUGGGCGGGAGCGAGAUGAAGCAACGCCGCGUGCGUGAUGACGGCCUUCUGGUGGAAAACCACUUUCGCCGGUAACGAAGCGGGAUUGACGGUAAUGGGUAAAGAAGCACCGGCUAACUACGUG
rnacentral:rRNA from 1 species